rnacentral:piRNA from 1 species
UGGCCACAAUGGGCUAAAGAAGCUUGC